GAUGAAGAACGUAGCGAAAUGCGAUAAGUAAUGCGAAUUGCAGAAUUUCCGUGAGUCAUCGAAUCUUUGAACGCACAUUGCGCCCGCCAGUAUUCUGGCGGGCAUGCCUGUCCGAGCGUCAUUUCCCCCCUCACGCGCCCCGUUGCGCGCUGGUGUUGGGGCUCCUCCGCCUGGCGGAGGGCCCCGAAAGCGAGUGGCGGGCCCGGCUGGUUGGCUCCGAGCGCAGUACCGAACGCAAGUUCUCCCCUCGCUCAGACGCCCCGCCGGCGCCCUGCCGUCAAAACGCGCAUGACGUGCAACUCUUUUUACAAGGUUGACCUCGGAUCAGGUAGGACUACCCGCUGAACUUAAGCAUAUCAAUAAGCGGAGGA
rnacentral:misc_RNA from 1 species